rnacentral:lncRNA from 1 species
UCUUUUCCUUUUUGAAAUGGGACUAGCCGUUCCUUAUCACUAAUGUUGCAUAAUAAUCUGCUGUAGACCAUCAGACUUGAACAUUCUGCAAUCCCGAAUCCUUGAGAACUUUUUCGAAUCAGGCAGUUGAAUUAGAAGUGGACAUGAGCUUUCGUAAUACAUUGUGCACAUAGCGAUGAAUAAGCAAAUCAGUUUUGUUGUGGA